rnacentral:rRNA from 1 species
AUUGAACGCUGGCGGCAGGCCUAACACAUGCAAGUCGAGCGAGCGGCGGACGGGUGCGUAAUGUAUGGGGACUGCCCGAUAGAGGGGGAUAACUACUGGAAACGGUAGCUAAUACCGCAUACUAUCGGAUAACCCAUAUGGGAUUCGCUAGUAGGUGAGGUAAUGGCUCACCUAGGCGACGAUCCCUAGCUGUUCUGAGAGGAUGAUCAGGCAGAAUGGGACUGAGACACGGCCCAGACUCCUACGGAGGCAGCAGUUGGGAAUAUGGCACAAUGGGCGCAAGCUGGAUGCAGCCAUGCCGCGUGUAUGAAGAAGGCCCUAGGGUUGUAAAGUACUUUCAGUCGUGAGGCGGUACCGACAGAAGAAGCACCGGCCAACUCCGUGCCGGCAGCCGCGGUAAUAC